rnacentral:rRNA from 1 species
GAUGAACGCUAGCGAUAGGCUUAACACAUGCAAGUCGAGGGGCAGCAUGGUCUUAGCUUGCUAAGACUGAUGGCGACCGGCGCACGGGUGCGUAACGCGUAUGCAACUUGCCUCACAGAGGGGGAUAACCCGUCGAAAGACGGACUAAUACCGCGUACACUCCAUCUUGGGCAUCCAAGGUAGAGGAAAUGAAAGUCGCUGUGAGAUAGGCAUGCGUCCCAUUAGCUAGUUGGUGAGGUAACGGCUCACCAAGGCGACGAUGGGUAGGGGAACUGAGAGGGUGAACCCCCACACUGGUACUGAGACACGGACCAGACUCCUACGGGAGGCAGCAGUGAGGAAGAUUGGUCAAUGGGCGAGAGCCUGAACCAGCCAAGUCGCGUGAAGGAUGACUGUCUUAUGGAUUGUAAACUUCUUUUAGACGGGAAUAACAAGAGUCACGUGUGACUCCCUGCAUGUACCGUAUGAAUAAGCACCGGCUAACUCCGUG